ACGAACGCUGGCGGCGGGCCUAAUACAUGCAAGUCGAGCGAACGGACGAGAAGCUUGCUUCUCUGAUGCUAGCGGCGGACGGGAGAGUAACACGUGGAUAACCUACCUAUAAGACUGGGAUAACUUCGGGAAACCGGAGCUAAUACCGGAUGAUAUUUUGAACCGCAUGGUUCAAAAGUGAAAGACGGUCUUGCUGUCACUUAUAGAUGGAUCCGCGCUGCAUUAGCUAGUUGGUAAGGUAACGGCUUACCAAGGCAACGAUGCAUAACCGACCUGAGAGGGUGAUCGGCCACACUGGAACUGAGACACGGACCAGACUCCUACGGGAGGCAGCAUGAGGGAAUCUUCCGCCAUGGGCGAAAGCCUGACGGAGCAACGCUGCGUGAGUGAUGAAGGUCUUCGGAUCGUAAAACUCGUUUAUUAGGGAAGAACAUAUGUGGAAGUAACUGUGCACAUCUUGACGGUACCUAAUCAGAAAGCCACGGCUAACUACGUG
rnacentral:rRNA from 1 species